GCGCCCGUAGCUCAGCAGGAUAGAGCACCAGAUUCCUAAUCUGGGGGUCACAGGUUCAAAUCCUGUCGGGCGCACCA
rnacentral:tRNA from 2 species